rnacentral:rRNA from 1 species
ACGGGUGAGUAACACGUGGAUAACCUACCUAUAAGACUGAGAUAACUUCGGGAAACCGGAGCUAAUACCGGAUAAUAUAUUGAACCGCAUGGUUCAAUAGUGAAAGACGGUUUUGCUGUCACUUAUAGAUGGAUCCGCGCCGCAUUAGCUAGUUGGUAAGGUAACGGCUUACCAAGGCAACGAUGCGUAGCCGACCUGAGAGGGUGAUCGGCCACACUGGAACUGAGACACGGUCCAGACUCCUACGGGAGGCAGCAGUAGGGAAUCUUCCGCAAUGGGCGAAAGCCUGACGGAGCAACGCCGCGUGAGUGAUGAAGGUCUUCGGAUCGUAAAACUCUGUUAUUAGGGAAGAACAAAUGUGUAAGUAACUAUGCACGUCUUGACGGUACCUAAUCAGAAAGCCACGGCUAACUACGUGCCAGCAGCCGCGGUAAUACGUAGGUGGCAAGCGUUAUCCGGAAUUAUUGGGCGUAAAGCGCGCGUAGGCGGUUUUUUAAGUCUGAUGUGAAAGCCCACGGCUCAACCGUGGAGGGUCAUUGGAAACUGGAAAACUUGAGUGCAGAAGAGGAAAGUGGAAUU